UUUGUUUCACUUCUUCCUUUUCAUAUAUGUCCUUUGUUUCAUAAAAGCCAAAAUUGAAAUGAUGUAGUAUAUUGAAUUGAUGAAACUACUUGAGAAUCAGUGGGCAACUUUGAUCAAUGACCUUGUAAAUCAGCUUUUUUAUGGUUACAUUUUCAAACUAAAGUCUCUAGUAGUAAGUUAAUUAGAUAUGGUGUAACCUUAAUUUUCAACAACUGAAAGUAUUAACUUUGGGUAAAUUGUUCUUAAACUUAUUUUGGUUUAAUGACUAAGAUAAGAUAGUUCAAGAAGUUAAUAAUCUAUAAUCUGCAGAUUCAAGUUAAUUACUCUUGUUUGAAAAAAAAUCUAUUUGGAUGAUUCUUCAAGUACUUUUAAAUUAAAACAGAAUCUAGUUAGAUUUCUGAUUAAACUAAUUAUUUUGGAGAGUUAUAAUGUGAGAUUGAUAGUAUGAGUUGGAUUAUUAGAAGGUUGGUAUCAUUUAGGAAAUCAUCAUUAGCUCAUAAGGUUUAAGAUUGAUUAUUAUCUAUUUGAAGAAUGGUUGUUGAUUAUGUUAUGUGUUGGGUGAAUUAUGUUGGAGUUCGAGUUGGAGUUGAAGAUCAAGAUUUUCAUAAAUGUUCAUGGAGAUUGCAUAUAAUUGUUCUUGAGUUUGAGGUGUAUGUUUGGAUUUCUGGAAGAAUCAAGAGAAAGAGUUUUCAGUUAAGAGAUGGAAAUUAAAUUAGAGAUUUGAAGUUAUAUUUAGAAUAUAAUUGUUGAAUGUUAAGUUCUCAUUUGAUAUUAAGUAUUGUAUUGUUUUGGGAUUUCGAGUAAAGUAAUAUAUAAUCAGGUAUUGGCUUUGAA